UACGGAGGGAGCUAGCGUUGUUCGGAAUUACUGGGCGUAAAGCGCACGUAGGCGGCUUUGUAAGUUAGAGGUGAAAGCCCGGAGCUCAACUCCGGAACUGCCUUUAAGACUGCAUCGCUUGAAUCCAGGAGAGGUGAGUGGAAUUCCGAGUGUAGAGGUGAAAUUCGUAGAUAUUCGGAAGAACACCAGUGGCGAAGGCGGCUCACUGGCCCGAUACUGACGCUCAUGGUGCGAAAAGCG
rnacentral:rRNA from 1 species